CUUUACACAUGCAAGUCGAACGGCAGCACAGAGAAGCUUGCUUCUUGGGUGGCGAGUGGCGAACGGGUGAGUAAUAUAUCGGAACGUACCGAGUAAUGGGGGAUAACUAAUCGAAAGAUUAGCUAAUACCGCAUAUUCUCUGAGGAGGAAAGCAGGGGACCUUCGGGCCUUGCGUUAUUCGAGCGGCCGAUAUCUGAUUAGCUAGUUGGUGGGGUAAAGGCCUACCAAGGCGACGAUCAGUAGCGGGUCUGAGAGGAUGAUCCGCCACACUGGGACUGAGACACGGCCCAGACUCCUACGGGAGGCAGCAGUGGGGAAUUUUGGACAAUGGGCGCAAGCCUGAUCCAGCCAUGCCGCGUGUCUGAAGAAGGCCUUCGGGUUGUAAAGGACUUUUGUCAGGGAAGAAAAGGCUGUUGCUAAUAUCAAUAGCUGAUGACGGUACCUGAAGAAUAAGCACCGGCUAACUACGUGCCAGCAGCCGCGGUAAUACGUAGGGUGCGAGCGUUAAUCGGAAUUACUGGGCGUAAAGCGAGCGCAGACGGUUACUUAAGCAGGAUGUGAAAUCCCCGGGCUCAACCUGGGAACUGCGUUCUGAACUGGGUGACUAGAGUGUGUCAGAGGGAGGUAGAAUUCCACGUGUAGCAGUGAAAUGCGUAGAGAUGUGGAGGAAUACCGAUGGCGAAGGCAGCCUCCUGGGAUAACACUGACGUUCAUGCUCGAAAGCGUGGGUAGCAAACAGGAUUAGAUACCCU
rnacentral:rRNA from 1 species